rnacentral:misc_RNA from 1 species
GGGAAAGAGAGCGAGAGGAGGCUGAGAGGGACAGAGAUAAAUCCAAGGAUCGAAGUCAUCGUUCAAAGGAUAGAGGAAAAGAUUCAGGACAUCUAGAGAAAUCAAGAUAUCUUUCAUCACGUGAUCGUGACUAUUACAGCUCUUCUUAUUCUUCAAGGGAGAAGGAUCGUCACAGACAUCACUCAUAUGCUUAAAACUCUCAUUGAAGUGUGCACCCUGUUGUAGCAGUUGUCAGAAACACUCUAGUUGUAAAUGACUUUCUUUUCUUUUUGACACAUUUAGUGAGCAGGCCAGUGACUAUUAAAUUCGGUUUCGAAAUUUGGUAUCAUUUUUGUACGGCACUUGAGCUGACAUUGGUUUUGCUUGUCCUGCAAUUGU